UGCGUAGGUGGCCGAUCAAGUUGAUUGUGAAAUUCCGGGGCUCAACUCCGGAGCUACAGUCAAAACUGACCGGCUUGAGUGCAGGAGAGGUAAGCGGAAUUCCUAGUGUAGCGGUGGAAUGCGUAGAUAUUAAGAGGAACACCGGAGGCGAAAGCGGCUUACUGGACUGUAACUGACACUGAGGCACGAAAGCGUGGGGAGCAAACA
rnacentral:rRNA from 1 species